GGAUUGAUUGUUCCUGAACCAGGAAUAAAGAUUAAAUAAAGAUUAAACAUAGAAGAGGCUCUUAGCACAACAGGGUUCCUUCAUGCUAAACAGCACAGACAAGAAGAGCACUCUGGCAGUCCUGGGCUAAAGAUUUGUACUCCUACCUCCAGCAAGUGAGAUGCUACUGGCACUUAAGAAUUUCUUGGAGGAACUGCUACUUUUU